GAAAAAAAUAAUAAUUUGAAAGGAAAAAAGACAAUUCCAUGGUGAAUUUCAUGCUAUGAUAAAAAGAAGGUUUAAAAAUAUAUAUGAUAAAUUCCUCUUUUUUAUUAUUAUCAUUAAUUUUACCUCAGAAUUAAUAUCAAGUUGUCCUUUUUGGCCACAUUUUUAUGUGAACUUUAUUUAGAGCAAGAUUAAACGAGUGCUUUGCAUUUGUUUCUCUCUGCACUGGUUGGCCAGAAGAGUUCUGUUAUUCAGGAGUGAAUAAACUCUCAUUGGAGGACUGUUCUAAAAUAAGUGAUAAGUCCUGCCCUCCAGAACUGGACUGUACAUAAUAAUAGAACCAAACGGUCACUCAAAGACUGUCUAACACGGCCAGCUACCUUUGAGCUGUUGUAAAUAGAGAUAUAUUGUACUUGAACUUAUAAUGCCUUUCGUUUGUAGAAUAAGCGAUAUACAUCUAAGUAACAACAUAGCCAAGCGCUAAACAUAUAUGAGAUGCAGAAAACCAAUAUACCAACUAAUUGUAAGACACCUGUGGUAAAAUGUAGUUUUACUUGUAUAUAAAUUUUGGGUAGAUUCUUUUUUUUAAGUGUCAAUCUUGUACAGCCGAGGACAGAACAGGCAGGGAGAAUAGAACAGCUUUUAUCAAAAACAUUUACAACCAAGAAGCAAACAAAUAACGAAUCAAUAGGCUGAGCCAUUAAUAUUGAUAUUAGUUUGAGGCGUGCUCUACUUUUUUCUUCUCUGUGUUUUUUGGAUCACGUCAGCUUCCUAAUACAAAAAGCAGAUCAUCAUGCCUAAUUUACACAUGUAAAUGCUUCAUUCUUAUAAAAUUGCAUGGCUUUAAGGCAUUCCAGUGAGCUCCAUGUUGUUGCAAGUGUCCAUAAUUUACCUAUUUCAAAUAGUCCUGCUUUGGACAUGUAUCCCAUAUAUACUAUGUCAACUGAUUAUAUGAAUAUUAAUACUUACUAAAAUAGCCAGAUGACACACGGGCAACCCAAGUAAAAGGGUGAAUCGCACCAAAUGUACCCGCAAAUUCUAAAAACAGGACUCAUUUUCUUAUGCAAAAUAUAUUUUCAUAUUUUUGUUCUUUUGAUUUUAUGACGAUCUGGACAUAUUUUUGUGAGAUUCACCCAAAAACUUGUGUAUGUCAAAUGUACUAUGCAAAGUACACCGUAUUCCCAGAUACAUUUUCUCUGGUCUCUGGUGAGGUACAGAUCCCUCCUCCCGAUCUAAAUAUUCAAUGGCCUACACGAUAAUAACAUAAUACAAUAUAUAUACAGUAUAUACAAUAAUA